rnacentral:rRNA from 1 species
UACGGGGGGGGCAAGCGUUGUCCGGAAUCAUUGGGCGUAAAGCGCGCGUAGGUGGCCUCAUAAGUCCGCUGUGAAAGUCAAAGGCUCAACCUUUGAAAGCCGGUGGAUACUGUGGGGCUAGAGUACGGAAGAGGCGAGUGGAAUUCCUGGUGUAGCGGUGGAAUGCGCAGAUAUCAGGAGGAACACCAAUAGCGAAGGCAGCUCGCUGGGACGUUACUGACACUGAGGCGCGAAAGCGUGGGGAGCGAACAGG